AUUGGAUGAACCAAUCAGUUCGAAGUUGUAGAGUUUGGAGGUGGAUGUUACUAAAGGGAGGAAGUUGAUCACAAGUUUUCUUUCAGCAAUUGGUGAGUUACAGGGAUAUCAUGUGCAUAUGUAUGAGUCUGCUUUGCUUCGGUUGAAGAUAUAUGUGUGCCUGAAGAUACAAUCUUACAUGCAUUUUCUGUAUGAUAUGAUCACUAUUUCAUUCUCUGCGUGUACGUAGGUUGCAAGAAUGAGAAGGCUCCUCCGUGCUUAACAGGAAGAGACAGGGUCGCA